UACGGAGGGGGCUAGCGUUGUUCGGAAUUACUGGGCGUAAAGGGCGCGUAGGCGGUCAGCACAAGUCGGUUGUGAAAUCUCCGGGCUUAACUCGGAAAGGUCAACUGAUACUGUGCGACUAGAGUGCAGAAGGGGCAACUGGAAUUCUCGGUGUAGCGGUGAAAUGCGUAGAUAUCGAGAGGAACACCUGCGGCGAAGGCGGGUUGCUGGGCUGACACUGACGCUGAUGCGCGAAAGCCAGGGGAGCGAACGGG
rnacentral:rRNA from 1 species